rnacentral:rRNA from 1 species
UACGGAGGGUGCAAGCGUUAUCCGGAUUCACUGGGUUUAAAGGGUGCGUAGGUGGGCAGGUAAGUCAGUGGUGAAAUCUCCGGGCUUAACUCGGAAACUGCCAUUGAUACUAUCUGUCUUGAAUACCGUGGAGGUCAGCGGAAUAUGUCAUGUAGCGGUGAAAUGCUUAGAUAUGACAUAGAACACCAAUUGCGAAGGCAGCUGGCUACACGAAUAUUGACACUGAUGCACGGAAAGCGUGGGGAUCAAACAG